rnacentral:lncRNA from 1 species
CAAAUCCUGAGAAGAAUUCAAGUCGUUUGGAAUUGAUUCUUGAAGCUUCUUUGUGCUAAGAAAACGCCCUCCGGACCCUCUAACCCUCUUUACCGCGUGAAGAUGCCGUGAUUCAUGAAGAUACGGCUUUCUAGCUUUGACAAGUUUGUUUUGAGCCUCAAGCUUAGCACGCAUCUGUCUUCGCCUUAAGAUCCCAUGAUACUGUUUCGCAUUUACAUAAACCGGUCCAUCUUCUGCAAGAUCGAGGGGUAAUGGGACCCGUGCAGGUGCUAUGCCAAUCAUUUGAGGAAAAACAUGAGGUCCGUAAGCAGCAUAAAAGCCACUGAGAUAGGGGUCGGAGUAACCAAAAGGAGCGUGGCUAAUUGAAUGGGCCAUUUCACUUUGUGAACAAUCGGUGGGA